AUAUCAGUAAGGUUAAUUCUUACCUGCAGAUCUUAGAAAUAAGAUCGCAGAACAUGAUGAAUGGAUUCCAUGAAUACGUGAUUAUUACCCGUAUUCGUUUAGGGUCUUGCAACCCCUUUACGAAUCCUAUCUGAU